rnacentral:rRNA from 1 species
AUUGAACGCUGGCGGCAGGCCUAACACAUGCAAGUCGAACGAGAGGCGGGCGGGUGAGUAAUGUCUGUGGAACUGCCUGAUGGGGGGGGAUAACUCCUGGAAACGGUAGCUAAUACCGCAUACCAUCAGAUGUGCCCAGAUGGGAUUAGCUAGAAGGUGGGGUAACGGCUCACCUAGGCGACGAUCCCUAGCUGGGCUGAGAGGAUGACCAGCCACACUGGAACUGAGACACGGUCCAGACUCCUACGGGAGGCAGCAGUGGGGAAUAUUGCACAAUGGGCGCAAGCCUGAUGCAGCCAGGCCGCGUGUAUGAAGAAGGCCUUCGGGUUGUAAAGUACUUUCAGCGGGGAGGCGUUACCCGCAGAAGAAGCACCGGCUAACUCCGUGCCAGCAGCCGCGGUAAUUC